UCCUUAUUUUCCAAUCACAUUUAUGUCCGUAACUUCCGUUCCAGCGUUUGAUCCAAACUUGACCUGUUUUCCCAUUUAUAACAAACCAGGUUGCCUAAAAUCCCAUUCCUAGUUAUCCCAUAAUCAUCCAAGAUAAUUCCUGUGCGUGAUUUUGAAUAAACCACGGGAAAAUCUCACGGGAAAAUCUCACGGGAAAAUCUCACAGGGAUAACUUUCAACCUCACGUUUUUUCACUAUCUGUAUAUUGUUCAGAAUUGGAAUUGGAAAUAAAGUUAAGAUUGAUUGAUUGAUUGAUUGAAUAGUUUAA